GUUUCCCUCAUCCCAAGAGUGGUGGUGGCCGUGGUUCUGUGCACCCAUUGUGGACAUGAAGGUGAGCCCAGCUCAGACUGAGGCCAAAAACCCACUUGGGCAAGAUUCAAACAAACAUCCAGGCCAGCAGCUUCAAGGGCUCUCACUCAGAAGCAAUCAGUCAGAAAUCUCUUGGUGGCACCGACAUCAAAGGUACAGUGUUUUUCAUUGCAUGGCCACACCGACGUCACCACUGCAAAGCCUGAUGUAGGAUGGAAUGAGCAGAUCCUGCCAGGUUUCACUGCUGGAUUUGGCAUCAUGCAGAAGUUUUGUGAUGAGCUCUACCAGAGGUGAGGUGAUGUUGGACAGCUGUGCCAGCCCCUCUGUCAGAUGUGGCAUUCAACAGCCUGACCUCAGCGACAACACUGAGACUUUCUGGGAGUCCAUUGCUAAACUGUCAUGCUACGUAAAUAGCUUUGUGCUUUCUUUUUCUUUCUUUUCUUUUUCUUUUUUUUUUUUUUUUUUUCCUUCUUCUUGCUCUUUUAUCUGACAGACAGCCUGGUCCAUAGAACAGUAUGCUGGGAAGAUGGGCUGAUAUGAGUGCUCUUCCAUGCAAAGACAUCCAAUAUUUUCUCUUGGGCUGUCUUUCCUAUUCCAGUGCUGAUCUACUACCAUAUGCCCCUGCAGGUGCUGCUGUGGUCCUUGUCUUGCCCUGAGAAUUUACUGAAUCUUGGAUGGGCUGAGGGAGGUACAAGGGCAUCAGGACCACCCAGUGCAUGGCUGGCACAUGUCCUUACAGCACUCAAGCAUGCGAGCAACAAAACAUUAUGCAGGAGAAAAUGAACCUUUUGCAGACAAUUAAAAAAAUCAACACGUGACAUGUCAGCCAGCCAGGAUGGCUUGAGCAGCUUCCACCUGCCUAGCCCUGCCAUUGAGAUAUGGCCCUUCUUGCACUGCAAGAAAUGUAAUUGAGGGGCAAGAGGGAAGUGGCGGUGAAAAUUCUUACGUUUAACAUCUGUUAAUGAAAGAUCAUUUAACCAGCUGCAAAAAGCCAGGGUGGCUUCAGCUUCCCAAACUCGUGGUGCAACAGUACUUCUCAGAAUUGUGCUUCCUGUAGGACGGCACUGCAGGGAUGAAAGGGCAUUUUAGUUUCAAGCAGAUUAUUGCUUCAUAGCACAGGGGGUACAAGGACUUUAGAGCUUGAGUCUGAGCUUGACAGCCCCCCCAUACACGUUAGAUGUCCCAGUCCAGCCUCCAGCCCUCAUUCCCUACCACAGCAGCAUAAGAACAAACCAGCCAGAGUUGUUGCUUAAAGGGAGAGCUGGCUGAUACCAUUUUGAUGGUGAAGUACAUGCAUCUGGAUGGAUGAUGUGUACAGCAGGACCCUCUGUUUCCUGAGAAAGAGAUGAAAGAUCACUUAUGGGGCAUGAAAGUAGGGAACUGAGAGAACACUAUAUUCCACAGCUCUACCUCAGGCAAAGAACAGGCGAGUCCUUAAGGAAGUUGCUUUGCCUCCUUGUUGGUUUUCUUUUCCUAUUUCUCAUGGGAGACAGAGUCCCAAGGUUAUCAUCUCCCUGCAAGCAGCAGCCACAUCACCUCCAUCAUACUCUGAAAACAGAUGAAGAUUCCAGGUCCAUUGCCUGGUUUCCCUCACAGAAGAUGCCUCAUAGAAGCCUCAUCAGCUUCUUCAUCUCACUUCAUAGGAAAAUCAUGAUGGAACACAGCUGCUUCUUUAUCUCAACUGACUUCUCGUUCUCCCUUCUCCCUCCCUGGAGCUGCCCAGGUUGUCUGUUGACACCUCCACCACAGUGUCGGUGCCAGUGUGCAGCAGAAGGGGAUUUCGUCUCUGAACCAUGCUGGAUUAGGAGGUGGGAGUCAGUACUUUCCUUCCAGCAGAUACCAUCCAACCUUGACCUCCACCAUCCACAUCUGCAGGCCAGUGCCCUGAAGCAGUGCUCCUCUUUGACUCUGAAACUUCUACCCAGAUGAUCAUUUUAGCUGGUAAAGAAUUUUUCUAACAUAUGAAGAAACAAAGACCUAGCAAACCAAAAUAUAACUAGUGCCCAGCUGCCUCUUUAUCUGGCUGUGCUUUGUUUGCACAAGCUGAAGAACUUUGUGGUGCCAGGAGGGAUGUGAUAGAAGUUCUUUGUCUCAUAAAUUAUUUUGGCCCCAUCUUCCCCCAGGAGAUAGGACUUGAGAGCAAGAGCUGGCAGCAUGGGUUCUGCUUCCAGCUUUGGCACUGACCUGCUGCAUGACCUUGGACAACUCACUUCACCUCCCCUAAGCUUCUGUUUCCCCUCCUUUCCUUUGUCUGCCUUGUUUAUUUGGACUGUCAACUCCUAGAGAAAGGAAUUCAGCCUCCGUGGCAGCUUGAAGAUUGCAUAGCAUGACAGGAGCCCAAUUGGACUCGCUUCUGGGAGGUACUACAGUAAAAAAGUUCAUGACGAUGACUACAAACUAGCAUUUGCUAAACAAUUGUAUGGGAGUUUUUGCUUAUUAAGUGGCAUAUGUGAACUAGCAGAACAUCUCUGACAGUUCAGAGAGCUUGUCCAGGGACAACAACUGUAUUUGUUCCUUUUCCAUGGCCACACUGAAGACCAUAUCUACCAGCCCCAUAAAUAUUGACAUCUUCUCCCUGUCCCAGCUGCACAGUGGGAGGAGUGGGAAGCAUCUGCUAUGGAAAAGGGAAAGUUUGUUGGAGGUAAUGAGGAAGGCUUCCCUUGGAGUCCUCCCCCUCACAAACAUCUGGACAGAUAACAGCUCUUGUGAGAAAGGUUGUAAGAGCUGUGGAGGCCUCCUGGAAAGGGCAGGGAAACACUCUGCUUUGGAGCUGGUUAGCACCAAGGGCAGAAAGGUGGAGAGAGGCUGUGGGGGCUAACGCAGGCCCUGUCACACAGAAGUCAGGGGUGGAACAGGCAAAACCAAGGCCACUAAAAUCUUAGGGGGCAGAUCAUCUUGAGAUGAAACCACAAGAGCCUUGAUUCCAGAAUACACCUCUUUCAGGCAAGCGCUGCAGUUUUGAAAUCCAUUUUACCCUCUGGAUGAUAGAAAAAGGCGUGAUGAAGGACUUGCCAUUGCACUUGUGGCUCUUGAGGAGACUUCAUGCUCACCCACUGGCCUCUACUCUGCUCAGAGUCCCCCUGGCAGUGUCACUGCUGUCCCUCAACCUUCUCUUCCCACUAAAUGACUCAUCACUGGUACACAAGGACAUCACGAUAAGGCAAGAAUCACAUCGUUUGCACUACACGCCACUCCACAGAUAUAGCUAAGAGCAAAUUGUUUCUCUAACAUGCCAAGGAUGCUUUCAAAAAACCUCUUACCCCACUACCCCUUCGGCAGCAGCCCUGCAGCUUGACAAACUCCACUGGAACGCUUGUCUGCUUUUAAAAUGUCUUGAAUAUAUUGCAUGUAUUGGCCUGUCAUUGGUUUUCUCAAGCCCCCGCGAUACAGAGGGGUCUGCUGGGAGCAGUGUGGAAAUCCUUAAGUGAUGCUUUCCAGUUGACAGGACUGGAGGGCAGGCACUACCUGCUGUUAGGGGAGAAAGUCAACCCAGUUAUUAAUCCAUCAGCCAGAGGCUAAUGCAGAAUUGUUCCCCCACAGUGCUGCUUUCCAGUGCUUUGUCCAUUUAUGCCUGUGCUGGUGAAGGCCCUUCCCCUGCCUGCCUUCCCCCUUAGGAGCAUCCUUCUGAGAUGCAUUCUUCCUACCCUGGCAAUGCCUGGGAGUGCACAAAGCCUUUUUCUGUCUCCAGAUGUAACAGGUGGCAUAAAGAAGGCACAAAUGUAGCAAGGAUGAUCUAAAACAAUAAACUCCACCUGGCCUUAAUUUCCUACACCCCACUGCAACAGGAGUUUUGGAAACUCAAGGGAGGAGGACACAUGGAAGACUGAUGCUCAGGUGCGGAGCGAGCAGGAGUCAGGAUCUCCCUGUGCAUUGCCACUGAUGGUGUUUACAGAUCUGUGUUCUGCAGUUGAAUCCAGCUUGAGAGGCCAUCACCACAUGAAACAGGUCUUUUGGAAGUGCAAUUAUAUUAAGCAUGCUGGGCUGGCCACUAAGAUGAGUAAAACAGCUUGGGAGAAGAAAAGCCAGUCACCUGCUGAACCCUGGGGACCACCACACACCCUUCAGGUACCAUCAGUUACAUCCCUUCUGGUGUGAUGCAGCACUGGCCCUCACACCAGGGAGCUGUGGCCAUGUGGAAGCCACGACUGCUCAGAUGAAGGCCUCUGAUAAUUAUCCACCCUCCCACUUCCCUGCUGCAUGGACCAGAUAGCUGCAAGCCAAGGCCAUUACUCAGCGUAUCAUCAGGUUUUCCCCUCUGAAAAACCCACCGAAGACCAAGAACCCCAGUUCACACAAUGCUUUUGGCAUCAGUGGACUCCUCCUUACCACACAUCGAGCAACUCUGCAGCAGCAUGGCAGCUCUGCAUCCUGGCACAAUCAAGUGUGAAGGUGUAGGGACAUCAAGAAAAGCAAGCUGCAUGUUCCUCCCCCUUGGCUCGCCUCUCCUAGCACUGCGAGACACAGAAGUUGAAAGUUAAGCUUUUGAGUUACCAGCAAUUUCCACUUUGGUGCAUUAUUGCCUUUGCUGCAGUGCUUUUAUAAGGCUGUUUAUAAGACAAUAGACAAUGGGAGAAGUUGCUGGGGUUCCCAGUAGACAUAUGUUGACAAUAAACCCCUGUAACAGAG